rnacentral:misc_RNA from 1 species
CCGAGUGCGGGCCCUCUGGGUCCAACCUCCCACCCGUGUCUACUGUACCUUGUUGCUUCGGCGGGCCCGCCAUCCCGGCCGCCUGGGGGACCUCGCGCCCCCCGGGCCCGCGCCCGCCGAAGACCCCCUGUGAACACUGUCUGAAGAUUGCAGUCUGAGCGAAUAGCUAAAUUAGUUA